rnacentral:rRNA from 1 species
UACGUAGGCAGCAAGCGUUGUUCGGAAUUACUGGGCGUAAAGAGUGUGUAGGCGGUGCUCUAAGUCUGGUGUGAAAUCUCCCGGCUCAACUGGGAGGGUGCGCCGGAAACUGGAGUGCUCGAGUGUGGGAGAGGUAAGCGGAAUUCCUGGUGUAGCGGUGAAAUGCGUAGAUAUCAGGAGGAACACCUGUGGUGUAGACAGCUUACUGGACCACUUCUGACGCUGAGACACGAAAGCGUGGGUAGCAAACAGG